rnacentral:tRNA from 1 species
UCCCUGAUGGUCUAGUGGUCAGGAUACGGUGGUCUCACCACUGUGGCCCGGGUUCGAUUCCUGGUAAGGAAA